rnacentral:rRNA from 1 species
GACGAACGCUGGCGGCGUGCUUAACACAUGCAAGUCGAACGGAAAGGCCCUGCUUUUGUGGGGUGCUCGAGUGGCGAACGGGUGAGUAACACGUGAGUAACCUGCCCUUGACUUUGGGAUAACUUCAGGAAACUGGGGCUAAUACCGGAUAGGAGCUCCUGCUGCAUGGUGGGGGUUGGAAAGUUUCGGCGGUUGGGGAUGGACUCGCGGCUUAUCAGCUUGUUGGUGGGGUAGUGGCUUACCAAGGCUUUGACGGGUAGCCGGCCUGGGAGGGUGACCGGCCACAUUGGGACUGAGAUACGGCCCAGACUCCUACGGGAGGCAGCAGUGGGGAAUAUUGCACAAUGGGCGGAAGCCUGAUGCAGCAACGCCGGGUGCGGGAUGACGGCCUUCGGGUUGUAAACCGCUUUCGCCUGUGACGAAGCGUGAGUGACGGUAAUGGGUAAAGAAGCACCGGCUAACUACGU